GAUGAAGAACGUAGCGAAAUGCGAUACGUAAUGUGAAUUGCAGAAUUCAGUGAAUCAUCGAAUCUUUGAACGCACAUUGCGCCCCUUGGUAUCCCGAGGGGCAUGCCUGUUCGAGCGUCAUUUCACCACUCAAGCCUGGCUUGGUGUUGGGCGACGUCCCCUUUGGGGACGCGCCUUGAAACGCUCGGCGGCGUGGCACCGGCUUUAAGCGUAGCAGAAUCUUUCGCUUUGGAAGUCGGGGCCCCGUCUGCCGGAAGACCUACUCGCAAGGUUGACCUCGGAUCAGGCAGGGAUACCCGCUGAACUUAAGCAUAUCAAUAAGCGGAGGA
rnacentral:misc_RNA from 1 species